AUGGCGCCAAGCCUAACUGCCAGGCCGUCCCCCCUUCCCUCCCCUCGCCUCUCCGGCGCCAAGAGCCAUCGCCUCCUCCUCGGCUUCAGAUGCGGCUCUGGCUCCGGCUCGCCCGGAAGCGGCGAUGACGGCGCACCGCCGAUCGUCAGGGCGGCGGUCAGCGCCGUCACUGAGCUCCUCAGGGCCCUCUCUCCCAAGAAACCAAGGCAAGCUGUCGAAGCCGUCGACGCAGAGUUGGAGUCGCCUCGCAGCGUCGAGGAAGUGGUUGCUGUUCUUGAAGCCGACUACCGGCGUGCUUAUUUCCUUACUGGGAACUUCACUCUGGACAUAUAUGCUGAAGAUUGCUUGUUUGAAGACCCGACGAUAAAGUUCCGUGGAAGGUCUAGAUACUCCCAGAAUCUGGAUUUGUUAGUGCCCUUCUUCGACAGCCCUUCGCUCCAACUUGAAAAUAUAGACAAGGGUUUGAGGGUCGACACAAAGUUUAUCAUAGCAACAUGGACAUUAAGGACGUAUUUGAAGCUCCCGUGGAGGCCCCUCAUCGCCAUAAGAGGGAACACAACAUACGAUUUAGAUGAAGAAUAUAAGGUUGCACUACGUUCCAGGUCGUUAGGCACGCAGAGAGUUGGGACGUCUCUCCGCUGGAAGCGAUCGGACAGUUAUUCAUCUCGGCUCCGAAGCAAACGGGAAGCUGAUCUGGCAAGUGAACUUUGGAACAAUUGA
rnacentral:rRNA from 1 species